rnacentral:rRNA from 1 species
AUGAGUCUUCUCUGUUGGAACUAUCGUGGGGCUGGCAAACCUGCGGCGGUUUGAGAGCUUCGUGAUCUAACGAAGCAAUAUGCCCCCUCUGUAUUAUGCAUCCUUGAGACUCAAAUAGAGGGUUCUAGAGUUGAGAAUAUGGCUGGUUCUUUAGGUUUCAAUAAGAGUUAUGCUGUUAGUAGCUCGGGAAGAAGUGGUGGUCUAGGAAUUUUCUGGAAUGAAUAA